CCAGUGCCUGAACCAGCUGCUUUGAAGAAUCUUGGGACUGAAGGACUGAGCUGAGGCAUUUCUAAGGCAGCUGACGAGAAGAGGGAAAGAGCAGAUCAUGGCACCAAAUCCUGCCCCGGAGCUGCGCAGGGCUCAAGGAGUGGCCCCGUGUGGAGAAGCAGAUGGAGCUCUGCAAACUAUCAGCAUGCUGGAUUUUAUGGAGCAUUUCUGGAGCUGAGGGACAACUGUCAGGGAAUUUCCAGCGUGCAGGUGGUAAAACACUGACUGCCAUGAACUUCAUCAGGGAAAAAAAAAAUAAAUAAAGAGGAAAAAGCUGUGGUUUGGAAGCAGCUGGAUGGCAAACUGCAGGCUGGGAAUGUGGCUGCCAAAACCACCACAAGGAGAGUGGGGCACAGAGGCAUUUGUGGAGCAUUCUGUUUGCUAAUUGCUCAUGGAAUUUCAGGUUGAAAGAGAAGAAGGGAAUCUACCAGGUGGCUGCAUCUUGAAAAACAGGCCCUGUCUUCCUGUCCCAUUUUGCAGCAGUCCUGUGUGUGGGAGAAGUACAACUGUGGGACGCCUGACGAAAAGAGGUGGUUGAACAACUGCCCUUCAGCUCUGUCACCUUUUUUCAGUGCUUGCAAAAAACAACAACAACAACAAAACCACAAAAAACCAACCACACACACAAAAAAAGGACCAAAAAAUUCGAGCCAAAGAUAGUUUAUGUACAGCUCAGGAAGCUCUCAGCAAUGAGUGUGUCUGUGAUUUAAUAACACAUCUCCCCAGAAUGAUACUUCUUCUACUACUCACUGUGAAAAAGAAGGCAGAGCAGCACACAAGGCACUGCUAUUGCAGCAACAAGCAGCCAAACUACCAGGUAUUUAUUUUUCAAUGUACACAAUUACUGGGGAGAAUAAAAAUUAUUCUUUGACGCUCUGACAGAACCGUAAAAAACCCUGUGCUUCCCCUACUCCCACAGUCCUGACAAGAAACACCUCACAAAUUCUAAUAAAUAGAGAAUAGAAAUAAAUACUUUAACUACACAGCAUCGGGUUUCAAAUGGCUUCCUGAAUCAGAAAGUGCUGCUAGUCCAUCUUCCUUAUUUCCACACUCUGUAAUGGUGGCUCUCCAAAAGUCAAAGUGAGAUGGAUACUGCAAGAAUCACAGACACUACACUGGGAAACCAAGUAUCAGUGGGUACAUCCAGAUUUAUGGUAGGUGAUGGCAGUAAAGUGAAAGUAAAACUGUUUGCACAGGC